rnacentral:rRNA from 1 species
UUAAAUUGAAGAGUUUGAUCAUGGCUCAGAUUGAACGCUGGCGGCAGGCCUAACACAUGCAAGUCGAGCGGAAACGAGUUAUCAGAACCUUCGGGGGACGAUAACGGCGUCGAGCGGCGGACGGGUGAGUAAUGCC